GGGAAGAAGGUGCACAUGUGCUAAAAUUGGAAGCAUGCAGAGAAAAUUACCAUGAUCCUAUGCAAGAAUGAUGUGAAGAUUCAUGAAGCAUUCCAUAGUGUU